rnacentral:rRNA from 1 species
CCUACGGGAGGCUGCAGUGAGGAAUAUUGGUCAAUGGGCGGAAGCCUGAACCAGCCAAGUAGCGUGCAGGAUGACGGCCCUACGGGUUGUAAACUGCUUUUAUACGGGAAUAACGCGCCUUACGUGUAGGGCUUUGCAUGUACCGUAUGAAUAAGGACCGGCUAAUUCCGUGCCAGCAGCCGCGGUAAUACGGAAGGUCCGGGCGUUAUCCGGAUUUAUUGGGUUUAAAGGGAGCGUAGGCCGCAUGUCAAGCGUGCUGUGAAAUGUCCGGGCUCAACGGGGUGAAGUGCCAUUGAUACUGCCUUGCUGGAAUGCGGAUGCCGUGGGAGGAAUGUGUGGUGUAGCGGUGAAAUGCAUAGAUAUCACACAGAACACCGAUUGCGAAGGCAUCUCACGAAUCCGCGAUUGACGCUGAUGCACGAAAGCGUGGGUAUCAAACAGGAUUAGAUACCCCGGUAGUC